rnacentral:misc_RNA from 1 species
AAAAUGCGAUACGUCAUGUGAAUUGCAGAAUUCUGUGAAUCAUCGAAUCUUUGAACGCAAAUUGUGCUUCUGGGUAUUCCUAGAAGCGUGUUUGUUUGAGUGUCGACCAUAAAUUAUCAUACAAAAGCAAUUUUGUGUGUAGAUGAAAGUUCACCAUUUAAACUGUGAUCUUUUUAAAUUCAUGUGAAUAGGAUAGGAUUGCAACCUCAGUGCAAAAAUCUUCACAAAACUGCACUAAACACUUUUGUGUAUUAUUAUGGUUUUGUGUAUUUUUGUUACGGUUGUAUUAAUAAUCUUAACCAAUUAAUAUUCACUCUUAAUUAAAAAUUUAAUUAAACUCUCGACCUCAAAUCAAGCAAGGCUACCCGCUGAAUUUAA